rnacentral:rRNA from 1 species
GACGAACGCCGGCGGCGUGCUGAACAGAGGCAAGCAGAACGGUAAAGCGCUUACAAGUGUGGCGGGUGUGGAUGAGGGGCGAACGGGUGAGUAACACGUGAGGAACCUGCCUCCAUCUACUGGAUAACCGCAUGAAAGCGUGGCUAAGACGGGAUAUUCGGGGGCGGUUGCAAGAUGGGUCUGGGAGAGGUAUUGUCUCGGUGGGGGACGGGCUCGCGGCCUAUCAGCUGGUUGGUGGGGUGAUGGGGUACGAAGGCGGUGACGGGAAGCCGGCCUGAGAGGGUGGUCGGUCACACUGGGACUGAGACACGGCCCAGACUCCUGCGAGAGCCAGCAGUGGGGACUCUUGCACAAUGGGCGCAAGCCUGAUGCAGCGACGCCGCGUGCGGGAUGCAGGCCUUCGGGUUGUGAUCCUCUUUCGCCAGUGAAGCAGGCCUGCCUCGUCUGUGGGUGGGUUGACGGUAGCUGGAGAAGAAGCGACGGCUAACUACGUG